CGGUGCUCUCGAGCUCCACGCCACUUCCCGGCCUGGCGCCGCGGGGCGCGCAACCCGCGCGUUCCGGUAAUCCACGCCUCCCGGAGAGAGGACAGCCGGCACAGGGAGGGGAAGGAGAGAGCUUCCCGUCCGGGCAGUCCCCAGGGUGGCCAUACCAGUGUCUCCUGCCUCCUGCCUUCUACCUGCCUGAAGCCAGUGGGUAGCCACAUCACGGAUCGCGGGGUCCUCACCCUCCAGGUUCCAGUCCUGUCGACUUGAUUCCAGAAAUUCUCUGGCCCCCCUCCCCGACCCAGGCAAGCCCUGUGGCCCAGGCUGGUGACACAGAAGCCCCCUCACUGCUCCUUUGGCUCCUCCAGGUUUCCUCCUUGUAGUCCUCCACCUUCUACUGCACAGAUAAGGGAUGGACAUGUGACUGUGGCCCUCCUUUGCUCCAUACCCCUCUGGAACUCCCCAUUGCCUGAGGGCAGAGCCUAAAGCGCUCAAUCUGCGUUCAGGGCUCUUGUGUUCCACCUCCAGCUGGCCUCCCAGGUCUCACCUUCUCCCACCAAGUACCUAGCAGUUUGGCAGCACUGAACCGCAGGAGUUGGCAAGCAUCUGUCUCCACUGUCCUCUCUGCCUGGAAUGUCCUUGCCUUUGUCUGGCUGGCACCCCCAGUUCUCUCCAUCUUUACAAUGCCCUCUUAUGUCCCCACUUGUCUCAGAGCAAGACCCCAACCCACUUGCAUGCCCUGAAAGCACAUAGCACUAGCCCUCUCUCCUCGCUGUGAUGGGUGUGGACCUGACCAUGGUGACUGAGCCCAUCAGCCUGCCUGAGAAGGAACCAGCCCAGGGGAAGCAGAGAGAGACUGACUGCCUCAGGAAGAAUUAAAAUGCUUGGAUCCAGCCAUGCCUGGAGUUUAUGCUAUGCCUCGUGUUGGAAGCUGGUCUUUGCUUUUUGGAGGCUUCAGACUGACUCAAUGGCUUGAGCAAACUUUGGGAGAUGGUGAAGGACAGGGAAGCCUGACGGGCUGCAGUCCAUGGGGUUGCAAAGAGUCAGGCAUGAGCGACUGAACAACAAAUAUGGAAAAUGGGACCAGAAGUUGGGUGUUGAGAUGAAUGGAUUCUAUGAUGUGGAACUGAGUUGUAGUUUGGCUACCCCUCCCAUCAACAACUUCAGAUAUGCAGAUUAUACCACUCUAAUGGCAGAAAGUGGGGAGGA